AGAAAGAAACUAGAGAGAGAAAAUGUGAAGAAUUUGAGAAGGCAACAUGAACGUCGUGGUCUACCUUAACUUACGUUCUCGAAUCUCACACUGAGCCGAGGAAGUGUUUUGAGAGAGGAAAACUUGCGAAAGGAAAUGGAAGAAAGAAAAUACAAGGACGAUGAGACUGAACUCUGUGAAAUAGUUCCAUAUGCAUAUGGAGACACUAGAGCGGAAGCAGAUCGAUACACCAAUACCUAAAUUCGAGGUACUCAUCAUUUAUGAACAGGAAAAAGAACUUCAAUUUGAUUUUCAGCUUUAUGGGUACUCAUCAUUUAUGAAUAAGAAAAAGAACUUCAAUUUGAUUUUCAGCUUUAUGGGUACUCAUCAUUUAUGAACUGGAACAAGAACUUCAAUUUGAUUUUCAGCUUUAUGGGUACGAACUAUCUUUCCUUUUAGCCAAUCCAG